ACCCAGACUCCUACGGGAGGCAGCAGUGGGGAAUAUUGCACAAUGGGGGGAACCCUGAUGCAGCGACGCCGCGUGGGCGAGGAAGUAUUUCGGUAUGUAAAGCCCUAUCGGCAGGGAAGAAGAAAUGACGGUACCUGAAUAAGAAGCACCGGCUAAAUACGUGCCAGCAGCCGCGGUAAUACGUAUGGUGCAAGCGUUAUCCGGAUUUACUGGGUGUAAAGGGGGCGCAGACGGCAGCGCAAGCCAGGAGUGAAAGCCCGGGGCCCAACCCCGGGACUGCUCUUGGAACUGCGCGGCUGGAGUGCAGGAGGGGCAGGCGGAAUUCCUGGUGUAGCGGUGAAAUGCGUAGAUAUCAGGAGGAACACCGGUGGCGAAGGCGGCCUGCUGGACUGCGACUGACGUUGAGGCCCGAAAGCGUGGGGAGCAAACAGGAUUAGAUACCCCCGUAAU
rnacentral:rRNA from 1 species